ACUUACUACUCCAAGGCUUGCUAGUCAGCGCUAGUGGAAGAUCGUUGACACUAGCGAUAUUUUCUUCACUGAAAGAUGACUAAUUCUCAGCUUUGGAAACUUCUCAUCGACACUAUUUCACAGCCCGGGCAUACUUCAUUGCGCGUGGCGUCAUCAAGUUUGCCCACUCGAUCAAGCAAAACCGGAACGGAACAGAACGGGCUCUGUGCAAAGCUCUCUUACGUCAUCAGAAUUGAUCUCUCCCUCGUGGAGCAGAGCAUGGGGAAGGUGUGAUACAUCUACGGUCCUUUUUUGGUUCCUCCGCCGAUCACUGUGAGCAACGUAUAGGCAACAAAGAAAAAACGUUUCGUGGCAAACAACACAGUUUCACAACAAAACGGGUGCAUUUGAAGGAAUGGUGUGGGAAGAGAUUGAACUGCAAAAUCCCUCAACAUGUCGCAAACACGAUGGCACACCAAGCCGGCACCACCGUCCAAUACGGCCAAAGCCACAUGGGCUUUGAAAACCGGUUUUGCAUCAUAUAUUUAUGCAUUCCCCGUGCCUUUACGUGUCUCUUCUAACCGAGCCCAAUAGCCUCACUCUACCACCACCAGGCCGAGUAGUCCCAAAUCCAAAACCAGUCGCGUAGAUAUGCCUGACCACCAUAUCUUCAACUGAAUGCCGGCCGUCGAUUGCUUCCCCCCCAACGAUCAAGUCGACCCGCUCUCUUUCGGACACCUUCCGAUUUAUCAUCCACACGCCUGAAAGGUGCGUCCUUAGCGUGCAAAUGGAAUCGCGAAACACUUGCAAGCGCGAUCACUUGCUCUAGCCUCCGGCGGCGGCAAAUCUUGUUUUCGAUCGUGGUGUGUCAUUCGAACAUUGGCCAGCUUCGGGCAUGAUGACGUUUACAUCUGGUGGUGGUGGGUAGCGUUAUUUUGUUUAUUUUCGUUACCCAGUGCAAUAAAACAUUCGGUCAUGGUCGUGUCGUACGCUCUCCACUCGGACUAUACCACCAUCGUGACACGCUGUUUAACCUCCCAGAAGGUCAGCGUUAGUCAAUAACACAUUAUUUUAUUACAUUCUAAACACUAGUUUAAAGUGUAUUCUUGGCCAUUUGAAUCCUGUAGAUUUGGUUUCUUUUGUCGAAUUCGAAAUCAAGAAUCUACAGGGUAUUUCAAAUUGUGAACAAGGUUAGCCUCAUGCGAGAACGAACCCCAAACUAGAGAUGAGAAUUUUGAUCCGAACCUACUGGGGUCGUUGUGUUUCUUGGAUAAACUAGAAAUCCUAGAAAACGAAGUGAAGCUUUAUAACUUCGAUCUGGAAUUAGGUUCAAUGGACCAACAUUAUACUUCUGAUUCUAUCCUGAUGAGAAACAGAUACGGUUCCUUUGCGUAAAAUAGGAAAUAUUCCCAUCACUAUCGUAACCCUUGAUACAAGUUAGUUAGAAGAAACGCAGAUAACAUUAAUUCCACAAAUGCCGCACAACAAGCUUCGGCAGAUUGCACUAACAGAGUAUACUGGAAUCUAAUCUACGUGCGAUUGGAAACACCAGCAACACAGGACAUUGAGCAAAACCUGUUUCAAAUUAAUUCACACCAUAACAGCGAUAAAACUGAUAAAAAAAAAAAACCGGACAGCGAACGUCUACGGUAUCGACGGUCUACGGUUUUUGCCAUAUAAUUGACGUAUUCAACUGUAAAUUGAAUUAUUUCAAAAGCUGUUUUAUCUAAUUGAUGCGGAUUUAGCCUAACAGUCGGCCUGAUAAGCAACCGGCGAUAAGGCAGACACUCUAAAUGAGAUAAGGCGUAUGUAGAGGGUUUGCUAGAGCGGUUUUGAUUCUCACAUUUCGUAACGAGCUGAUAUUACCCACUUACGUAGCCAGGCUCCUGAUAGCUCUUUGAAGAAUUGGAGGGACUUCACAAGGAGUUUAAUGUAUCUUAUCUAUCGGUAACUAUGUGGAUUCAAUCGUGUAAUUAAUCUUAAGCAUUAUGUAGCUGAUAUAGCUGAAUACGCCUUAAUGUAACAUGGCCAAAACAAUGUAAUUUUGUCACAUUGAGGCUUUCAGCAGAAUGAUACAGCAAAGUAGUAGAUAACAUUUUUAAAAGGUUUCUACCGACUAGAGACAUUUAAAACCACCGAUCUACCGCUUUUUCAGAUGAUAAUAGCUUAGAUAUCCCAGCGUUGCGAGCAUCUGCCGAUAAUGAUUUGCGAACAGACAACAUUAUUGCCACGAACUAAAGCCAACGGACGUCGUUGCUAAUGGCUUCAUUAGAGACGCUCUGUGUAGAUACAAGUGCAUCUUGAGACCAGGGGGAAGGGGCGUUUGGGCAACCUCUUCAGCUUUCGACGUUAUGGCGAGACAAACCACUUCCGCUGUAAUCACCACACGAACGGCCGAAGAGGCAGCAGCAGUAAGCAAAAUCUUCCCUGUAUCGAGGCUUACCAUGUUUGUAGGAUACCGUAUCCUCCAAUGUGAAGGAAACACGUCCCAUCUCACCCGAUGCCCGAUUACUACUAAUGAACGUUACAUUUAUGCAGUGCAGGUUUACUUCACUGCAGCAACUUCGCGUGCAUUGGUGAGUUCAUUUAAAUUCCAACCUCCAGAGCUCGUUCGGAAACAAGUUGGUUUGAUGCAACCAACUCGCGACACAGACGCACCGACCGUCCGUGCCGGUGCCACACUCUAUAGCUCUCUCUCUCUCCCUCAAUGCAUUGCUAGUUGAGUUGCAAUGCAAUGCAAACAUCGGUGGUGCAGGAGGUAGUCGGUACGCUACUGCACGUUACACCACCGAUAGUAUGUAAAUGUCGUACCCGCUGCUGGGUAUACUACCGUCGGUAAGGAAGAGAGUUGACAUUUACGUGAGGCAAUCGUAUUUGUACGUGUAUGCCGCCGCGUCAACAAUUCGCGGGGAAUACGAACUACUCAUCACCCCCCGGGAACAGUGAUCGCACUCCAAAUGUGGCACACACAUUUUUACUUUAUUGGUUUUUGUUUAGCAUUGAGUCACACCGAAUUAUUAAGUUCCGUACCAGCAAAAAACAAACAAACUUCACGAAGCAAUAAACACGUUUAGCACGAUGCACACACCAAACUGGCUUGCGUAUGGCCACGCAUCAAAAGGGAAACACACUCUUAAACACCCGCCACCACAUUGCAGCAAAACAUUGGCACCGUGACGAACUGCCCAAGAUGACACAUAAACACUUACGCGAAUGCUAAACGCUAAAAAAGCAAGCAUGCUCAACUGCGAAAGUGUAAAACGUAUGCCGUCGCAAGGAAGCGGGAGAAUCAAUAAACACUUAAAACGGGGGAGAGAUCCCAAAAACUUCAAAUAGACCAUGUACACAAGACUAUUUUGUUACCUUUUUUAUCGGCACUUUAGAACACUUUCAUACACAACACUUGUCGGGCGAACCGACGACCACGUCGACGACAGUAUCCCCCGAGUGGUUUGCAUUUCACAGUGAGAAGGGACACAACAACAUCGCCCUUGUGUUGAUGAGCAUAGAUUCUCAAGGACCAAGCACCUUUAUCAAACUUUAAACAUGUCCCCUUUUGCUAUUGUUGUUCUAGCAGUUGUUUCAAGUUUUGUAAUUAGCUCACCGAUAAGUAACUGCCCCUCCCUGUAGUUACGAUUUUCUUUGCUAAAAUGUAUUCAUUUUCAUUUCACAAAGCGAUAAAAUGUAUUCUUCCACUGAGAUAGUAAUCAAACAACAAAUAAAUCGGCUUUGAUGAGUAAUUUUCGUUGGCACCAAUGCAAUCAGCAAUUAAACGAUAAUAGCUCGCUUAAUUGCCUGUUCCUUGCACAGUACAGUGUAUAUGCAUGAGCGCCUGUAUCCACAGCGCAUCGGUAUGGCGCGGCCACGAGGCUGGUGGCCGGUCACUUAUGGGGGUAGUGUUUCAGGAGACGGGUGCAACGAUUUCUAUUAGAAUUUUACGUCCGUGUAUCAUCAUCGAGUACAUCAUCAUCGAUAGCUGAACGCAACCGUUCCAAAGCCAAACAAGAUGUUUAGAGAAACAACAAACGAGGUCAUCAAAAUGUAAAUAUAGACACACAUACACUGCGAUUCCGAAUGGAAACGUCGAUCGUUACUGCAAUGUGUGGUGCGUUUCCCACACGCUUUCGUUUUAUUCUAGCUUUUUUUAAAUAUAUUUUUCAGAUCAAUAUUUUCGAAUCAAAAUAAUAACACAAUCAACCAUAAAGCGUUGCUUGAGGUAGUAAUAGUAGUAAUAGGUAGUAGAGAACGGCACUACUUUAUCGAUCUGGUUGAAGAUAGGUAGCAUUAAUGCACGAAGAAGUGAGCAUCGGUCUGUUGUAAGAAAUUAUUCCGGCUAGGUCACCACAAAACCUCGAUAAAACAAACACACACACACAUACAUCCAUUAGCACGGCCAGUGCAUUUCAUUACAGUUGCAGGUUUGCAAACGUAAACGCAUCCCAAAAGCCAUCCACAUAACCCACCAACCAACACACCCAGCAGCGCACGUGGUGCAUUAUUAAGUGAGAAAAAGUUCUGCUGAAGGACGUCAGGCAUACACAGUAGCGUGUUUGGCUCAUUAGGAUAAAUUGCAGCUUUACAAUUAUCAGCAGUUAUGGAUGACUAAACUUAUGUUAAUGAAGUUUUUUUUUUGUUAUUGGAGUGUUUUAGGAGACGACAACGCUACAUUGCUGCAUUUUCGGUGUUUCUAACCGUUGGCGUAUUAUUGCCUGUAAAAACUAGUGUUGAGUAAAACUGAUUAAGAUCCAAGAAUUCAAUGAAUCUGAAUCUUGGUUAGAAAGAUAUAUGAAUCUCCAAAAUUCGCGCAAAUGCAAUAUUUUGAAAAUCAUAUAUGUUUAAACAUUCACGAAUCCCUGGAGAUUAAUGAAUCUUAAUGGAUUCAGCAAUGUUAUAGAUUCAUUAAUCUUUGAAGAUUAAUUAAUCUUUCGAGAUUUAUAAAUCCUUGUAGAAUCAUAAAUCUUGAGAGAUUCUUUUAUCUUUGGACAUUUAUGAAUCUUUAAAGAUUUCAAGGUCAUUGGAGGUUAGGUUCGACAUUUGAAUCCCUCAUCGCUAAAGGUUCAUAUGAAUGAAUCUCAACAAAAGAUUCAUGAAACCUAACACUAGUAACAACGUUCACUAUUAGCUUUCAAGUGUCAGAAUGUGAUUAUACAAAGCGCAGAAAGUAGAUGUGCUAUUAAUUGAUACCCUUUUCUGAAUGUUUUCGCAAGUACGAAAGAAUAGAACGGUGAAACAGAAAUUUCUAUGUCUAAUUCUAACACAUAGUUCACACAAUUACCUAGUAAAAAAAGAAGCGUAUCUGCAACUUCCUCCUGUCAUGUGGUGAUGAGUGAGUAGUAAUUACAAAUUCCACUUUCGUUACCACAUCGUGCACCAGUAUAACAAACUUUAGUCGUCUCGUUGACUUUGCUGUGAGUGUUCGGCUUGUGCAACCGAUAACAACAAAACAAGGGGGGUGAGUUUUGAAAGUGGACAAACCAUGGGUAUAAUUAACUCACUGUACCUUCCAUCCAUUGUUUGCAUACUGUUCUUUCACCUUGGGACCGGUAGUUUGCUAGAUAUUGUUGUUGCGCUGCUGAAAAUUGGCAACACGUAACCCUAAGCAGCGCAUGUAGCGCGUUAACGUAAAUCAUUUUAAAAACCAUGCGUGGCCCUCACCGCGUGCGUAAAAAAGAGUCGUUUAGUAUGAUUUUUUAUGGCAGCUAAUUUUUUGCUAGCGAAAAAUAAAACAAACAACAAUACACAUACAUCACCGCCCUGCCCAUACGUUCAAUUUCCACUGUGGAGGAGAUAUGCUUUUGAACAACCGAGCAAAUGAAGAAAUAAUUUAAAUUCCACAUGCAUCACCUACUCCAAAAAGCACCGCACAGACACACACACAAACAUACAUCCACAAAAAGUACUAAUGUUCAUGGUGUGCCUUUGUGCUCUUCACCUGCAAACACGGAAAGGCUACUCCGUACAACAACAUCAGCCACUGACCUGGAACGGGACAAAUUGAAGACGAACAAAAACUGGACGUUCUACGUACCACAACCCAAGUUUGCAUGAUGAGCCUCAACCACACCUGCCUUUAGUACCUUUUGCCAAUGUACAACGAUAAACUGAACGUUCCAGUGACUGAAACAUGAAACUAGAAACCGAAGAGCAGUGGCCGGCGAGAGAGCUUUACUGGACGAGAUACAACAAAAAUAACAACAAAAAAGAAUAACCCAGCAAGUGCCAUACCCAAUGCCCGCACCUUCCCUGCCCGUGGUCAGAGGGAAAAAUAAAACCCAUGAAUAUGUCACAAAAUGGAAUGUGGGCUCACUGGAUGGUAAUAUGCACCUAGAUGGCGCUGGUGGUGUUAGUGGUAUUGCGGUUACGUGUACGGGGCAUAGGGGGCAAAAUGGACCCCCAUUAUUAGACGGGACUAAUAAAUUCAAAAGCUCAAGAUGUAUUGAUAACAGUAUGUUAUCCAUACUAUGUCGGUUUCUAUAUCGACAGUUAUAAAAAAAAACUAUCAGAAGAAAUAUUAAUUAUGAUUCAUUAUGUUUGUGAUACCAGCAGAAAGCGCUCUAUAAAGGCCAUAUUACAUUACAGGAAUAAUUCCGGAAUUUAUCUGUCGCUGACCUCAUUUGAAAGAGAAAUUCCCUCCGCAAGUGUAUAGCACACUUGGAAUAAUGGAACGGAAUUUAAGUAAAGCAUGUCUUUCUGUUUCAAAUAACUAUUUUGUGUAGAAGCAUUCGUCUAUUUGAUAGCAAGACGUAUCCAUUAUUCGGCCGAGAUAAAAGCUGUCAAAUGCGUUUUGACGAAACAAAUCUAUUCCAAAUUCCUCAAUGUGAUAGGGUCUUAACAAAUAACUUAGAUAUAGGAUGAUCUUCUUUAAUGUAAAAGAAGGCAAUGAAUUUGAAUUCCGCUAGUACAAAUUGCGUAUUAAAGUUUUGACUACAAAUCGACCAAAAAACUAACAAUGGGGCGCUUUCCGUUUUAAGUUCGUAGCCUGAAAAUUCAGCCUGUCAUCUGUUUGCAUUGUGCAGUUUUCGAGCAGCUAUCAAAGUGGGUAUAAUAUACAGGUAGACUUAUUCCUAAGUUUAUGUAUUUAGAAGGCUGAUUUUUAUCGCUUCUGCUUCUGAAUGAAGAUUUUAAGAAUGUUUUGUGUAUUCGUCAAGCUACCAGAAAGCCUGUUAGAGCUAAAGUUUUCACGCGUCCUUUUAAAAAAUGACGUUCAAAUUUGGUUAUAAAUACAACCUAUGAGACCACCUGGUCUACAUAAACUUUGAUUCUAGAUUCACCCACCUGAUCUCUUCAAUGCACCUUGGGGUAAAUGUAAGCACACCGUGUUUUGCCAUUUUUUCGAGCAGGUACUCGAAUCUAAUUCUAGCUUUGAGGCUAGAAUAAUCAAGACUGAAAAUUGCAAGCUAGGUUUAUGUGUGGUUUUGUAUGGAGUGUUUGCAUGAUUUCAGCCUCCAACUGUCAAACUCCAUACAAAAUGCUGACUAGACUCGUGAAGGGCCUCAAUAUUCAUUUUUUCUACUUUACAUUUAAGAUUAUGAGAUGAUGUUUUCCAUUUUUUUCUUUAAUUUUAGCAAUGGUUAGCAAGAAAUUUUACUCGAAAGCCUAAAAAGGCCGGCAUAUCCGCGUAAGCCGUCACGCCAAGUAGAAAAAAGAUAUUUUUAAAUAUUAGAAUUUUAGAAGCCUUGUAAUUAUUUUAAUCCCAAAAUGAAUCGGAGAAGUACAGAAUAACGAGUCAGUUAUAUUGUUCUGAGAUAACUUAUAGCAAGGGUCGGCUGCUGGGUACUAAUAAGUCUCGAAAGCUUGUCGAACCCGGCAUGACCGCGUAAGGCCUAGGCGUAAUGGCUACCAUUGAAGAGAUAAAAUCAUAAAACUUAAAAAAAAACAUGCUUAGCAUGACCGUUUUACCCCAAGUUCCCAUACAUUAGCGUGCCGAAGAGCAACCCGUGCGACUAAAUACUCAUGAUAGACUUUACAAGUCCGUUACUACCGAAGGGUGAGGGGGAAGUGGGGACAACCAAUAGCACAAUCCGUCACGCGAAACCACCACCGCCCGAUGUAAUGUGCUGGGCGGCCUGACAUUAUCACCAUCGUGCACUGGAGAUUGGGGAGGAUGGCAAAAAUCGUGGUGCCCGGUAACCGCCCGCGAUUGCGAGAGAUCGCAAGCCAAACAAUCGCGCGUAUGACAUUUGUCGCGUCCGCUCUCUCACGUUAACUGGGCGACACACAACACUCUGCCGCUCUUAACUGAUUGGUUACAUCGGUUGUGCGCGCGCGCCCGCGCUUUGUCAAUCAGUUUGCGCUUCGCUUCAUCGCCCACCGCCGCACCAAAGCCCUUCCAAUUCCAAUGGGGUAAAGCUUCACGGUACCUCCACGCGGCGCAAGUGCAAUUACGUGCGAGGGUAAGGGUAGCGUUGUACGCCGCCGUGCGAUUUCGCGCGAUUUUAAAUCUGUGGAAUGUGCGCGCACCACUCUCGUUGACAGUAUAGAGAGCGUGUACACGACAGCGUUUAACGAUCGCCGCCGGGUGGCACCCGACAGACACACACACGCUACACACAAAAGGCUUCUGAUUAAUUAUCUCUUUCUAGCGCAGCUUUGGCGGAUGGAAUGACGUCCGUUUGGGCCGCCCGAUGACGUUCGCUUUUACAAUCGGACACACUUAUUGUGCACACAACCGCAUCGAAAAAGUAUUACUAAGUCAGCUAUUUUAAUUGAUCUUACCGCGUGGAACCCUCCCCCUUGGCCGUACCACAGGCUAUCGCAGCACGAAGCGUAGAUUUAGCUAAAAGUUUCUAAGCUCUGAGCUAAAAACCGGCACACAAACGUGUACCACCCAUCUCCUCUCAUACACGUCGAUCCUUAAUUUAUGUCCCCGUAAUUGUUGGCAACCAAAGUACGAUUUUAAAAGUGAAGGAAAAAAGAAGUUCAGAAAAUAAUUCACCUGUACAGAACCAACCGGGCAUAUAUUGCCACCUUACAAGCACACCCAGUUGUUCCUCCGAUGCUGUUUACAUCCGAUCCGAGCAGCUUGGAGCAACAAAGCGCACACAACCAGCAUGACACGCAUUGCUCUGCUUAGUUUCACGUACCCCUUCCCCGCUACAUCCAACCCUCCCCUUCUCGUUACAAACGACGACCCACACAUAAGGAUAACAAAUUUGUAAUUUAAAUCCCAAGCUUCGCUAAUAUUUGUCCGAUAAAUCAACUGCCGGGUGUACGAGAACCAGCUUACCCCCCGGCCGAACCGGACACUAACGGGGGUUCACGUUAAUAUGUGUAUACGGGCCAGUUAAAGUAAAGAUGUUCACUCGGGCGUUUGUGUGUGUGGUUCAUUUUUUUGCGCAAAGCUACGCCCUCCAUUAUCCACCGACUAUAAAUACAGUGUAAACCACCCGCGGCGCGGCGGUCCACUAUAGGCCGGGAAACUAAACGUCAAAACAAAAUGGACGUUUGCGCACCCUCGGCUCGACGCGACCUACGCAACAGGAGCGGGAGUCCCCCACUGGCCACCACAGCACCGCAAAAUCCAAAGAAGCGAGUUGAAAAUACCUUUCGCUAUCGUUUCAAUAAACCUCCAGAAUAGAACACCAACGCGUAUAGGGAAGAUCGUCUCGUCCCGGAGUGCGGAGGAGGAGAUAAUUUGGACUUGAAACCAAGAGCGCGAAAAGCGAAAAGAUCGUAAAUCGUGCAAACCCUACCUUCACGUCGGUUUUGUUGCAGGUGGUGAUAGGGCGGCUGCUCUAGUGCGGAGGUUUUUGUUCGCAACUGUGUGUGCGCGCACAUCUGUGCGCCAUUCGUUAAGUCCUGCGAUCGCAAACGGUUCCCAAACACCAGCACACGGCUCAUCCUCUAAAACCGGCGGGAGACCCACCGCUAACCGCGAGUCGUCGACCUUACGCACCAGCGUGCCGGGCGUACGUGCCGCUGUACAAUUCACCAUUCGGAUUCUUCACCCAUAAAAACCGCGAUUUCAGUCUGCUGUUCGUGCGUGUGUGAGUUUCUUGGCUUUGUAGUCUAGAAAUUGGAGGAAAUACGGCAAGACAGCAAUGCGAUCUUCGGUUCGUGUCCAGAAAUAGGACUGUGGACGACUUUCGGUACAUAUCAUGCUGUACAAAAAGCGGUAGGUAUCUUCUUCACACACCGUGUGUCUCCAUCGAGUCACGACCUAUUCCAUCUAUUCCACCGGACGACACACAGUUUAAUGCUUCCGACUGUUCCGAAAAUCACAUUAGCAAGAUGAUCGGUUUUAUAGCAAUUUACAAGUUUAAAGGGCUUGUCAUCGGAGAACUUAUGUCUACCUAUAUAUAGAAUCAUACAUUGAGCUCGAAUGCUCGACUGGUAAUGAUCCUAACUUACUCCUUCUCAUUUCCUAGCCGUUUUAGCUGCUCUAGCCGAGCGAUAGACGUAUACCUUUAAUUCUCACCCCUUGUUUGAUAGAAUUUCCGCGUUACCUGUGAGUUAGGCCAGUGUUUCAGGCCUUCAUCAAUGUCCAACUCGUCGCAAUCUUGAUCCAUACGUUUUAUCGGUUGGGGGAAAAGGGUUACGCGACAGUGAAUUCCCCAAUGUGCACCGACUCGGAUGUUCUAUCCUCGUGACUCGGAGUCGCCCCGUAGCGGAUCGAUAUAGAUGAAUGUUUAUUAAACUGGUCGAGGUUACACCGAUUGUUUAUCGAAAAUCCAACCACCGUGUGCUAGAUAGGCAAAGCCGAACCUGCCAGAAAAAAGCGAUAGUAUUGGUACCCACACCAUGCCAAUGGCUUCCAACCUCGCUUCAAGGUUUCUCCGCCACACGACGUUUGGGAAAUUUUAUUGGAUGGCCACCUCCGGUACCACCUUUGCGCACCGUACCGUGAUCUACCACCCCCCGUCAUGUGAGUACAGCACAACAGCGCGCCUGUACUAGAUGGCAGGAUUUGGCAGCAGUUUCGAUGUACGGGAAAGAAUAAACAUUCGCAAUUUCCUCGCACCUAAUCGGGGCGGGGUGUUGUACACCUCGUCCGAAAACGUUGGAACGGUACCCUAACCUAACCCCCCUUUCGCCGGCUUAAUCCACCACAGGAUGCACACACACAAACACGGUGGAUUAAUCGAAUCGAUCGGUCGUAACACCAUCCGUCGAUUUCCCACUCAAUUAAAUAAUGCUGGCAUAUUUCCAUCUGCCUAUGCCCCAAGACCACCCCUCUGCUCUGGCGAUGCUUCGGAACCCGUGUGCCCGUGAGUUGCUACAACCGUUGCAGCGGAUUUUAAUUUCAGUUUUUGGCUGAUUUCGUAAUGAAUCCGUACGAGCAGGAAAUUAACGUUAUGUAUUGAUCUUUAAGUUAGAUUCUUGUCUAAGCCUAGUCGAGUAGAGGAUUUAUUUCCCCCUGACAAAUGAAGCAAUAUAAUGCAAUU